GAUCUGGCUCAGGAUGAACGCUAGCUACAGGCUUAACACAUGCAAGUCGAGGGGCAGCAUGGUCUUAGCUUGCUAAGACUGAUGGCGACCGGCGCACGGGUGAGUAACACGUAUCCAACCUGCCGUCUACUCUUGGACAGCCUUCUGAAAGGAAGAUUAAUACAAGAUGGCAUCAUGAGUCCGCAUGUUCACAUAAUUAAAGGUAUUCCGGUAGACGAUGGGGA
rnacentral:rRNA from 1 species